rnacentral:rRNA from 1 species
UCUGGAAAGGCGCGCGAUACAGGGUGACAGCCCCGUACACAAAAAUGCACAUACUGUGAGCUCGAUGAGUAGGGCGGGACACGUGGUAUCCUGUCUGAAUAUGGGGGGACCAUCCUCCAAGGCUAAAUACUCCUGACUGACCGAUAGUGAACCAGUACCGUGAGGGAAAGGCGAAAAGAACCCCGGCGAGGGGAGUGAAAAAGAACCUGAAACCGUGUACGUACAAGCAGUGGGAGCACGCUUAGGCGUGUGACUGCGUACCUUUUGUAUAAUGGGUCAGCGACUUAUAUUCUGUAGCAAGGUUAACCGAAUAGGGGAGCCGAAGGGAAACCGAGUCUUAACUGGGCGUUAAGUUGCAGGGUAUAGACCCGAAACCCGGUGAUCUAGCCAUGGGCAGGUUGAAGGUUGGGUAACACUAACUGGAGGACCGAACCGACUAAUGUUGAAAAAUUAGCGGAUGACUUGUGGCUGGGGGUGAAAGGCCAAUCAAACCGGGAGAUAGCUGGUUCUCCCCGAAAGCUAUUUAGGUAGCGCCUCGUGAAUUCAUCUCCGGGGGUAGAGCACUGUUUCGGCAAGGGGGUCAUCCCGA